rnacentral:rRNA from 1 species
UACGUAGGGACCAAGCGUUGUACGGAUUUACUGGGCGUAAAGGGCGCGUAGGCGGCGUGGUAAGUCACUUGUGAAAUCUCUGAGCUUAACUCAGAACGGCCAAGUGAUACUGCUGUGCUAGGGUGCAGAAGGGGCAAUCGGAAUUCUUGGUGUAGCGGUGAAAUGCGUAGAUAUCAAGAGGAACACCUGAGGUGAAGACGGGUUGCUGGGCUGACACUGACGCUGAGGCGCGAAAGCCAGGGGAGCAAACGGG